AGAGUUUGAUUCUGGCCCAGAACGAACGCUGGCGGCGUGGAUAAGACAUGCAAGUCGAACGCUAUUCGGGAAGUAGCAAUAUUUUCCGGGUGGAGUGGCGCAAGGGUGUGUAACACGUGGGUAAUUUACCGCAAAGUUUGGAAUAACUCGCUGAAAGGCGAGCUAAUGCCAAAUAACAUCUUCUGUGAGCAUUCAUGGAACAUUAAAGCUGGGGAUCGAAAGACCUGAUGCUUUGCGAUAAGCCCGCGGCCUAUCAGCUAGUUGGCGAGGUAAAGGCUCACCAAGGCUAAGACGGGUAACUGGUCUGAGAGGACGACCAGUCACACUGGAACUGAGACACGGUCCAGACACCUACGGGUGGCAGCAGUCGAGAAUUUUUCACAAUGGGGGAAACCCUGAUGGAGCGACGCCGCGUGGGGGAUGAAUGGCUUCGGCCCGUAAACCCCUGUCAUUUGUGAACAAUAUGUUUAUGGAAACACCAUGAACGUUGAUAGUAGCAGAAGAGGAAGGGACGGCUAACUCUGUGCCAGCGGCCGCGGUAAUACAGAGGUCCCAAGCGUUGUUCGGAUUCACUGGGCGUAAAGGGUGCGUAGGCGGUUAGGUAAGUCUGAAGUGAAAGCUCCAUGCUCAACUUGGAAAAUGCUUCAGAUACUAUCUGACUAGAGAGCCGGAGAGGAGGCUGGAAUUCUCGGUGUAGCAGUGAAAUGCGUAGAUAUCGAGAGGAACACCAGUGGCGAAAGCGAGUCCCUGGACGGCAUCUGACGCUGAGGCACGAAAGCCAAGGUAGCAAACGGGAUUAGAUACCCCGGUAGUCUUGGCUGUAAACGGUGCGCACUUGCUGUGGGUGGAAUUAACCCCGCUCGUGGCGAAGUAAACACGAUAAGUGCGCCGCCUGGGAAGUACGGUCGCAAGAUUAAAACUCAAAGAAAUUGACGGGGGCCUGCACAAGCGGUGGAGUAUGUGGCUUAAUUCGACGCGAAGAACCUUACCUAGCCUUGACAUGCAAAUAGUAGAAGCGUGAAAGCGUGACGAGGUAGCAAUACCAGUUUGCACAGGUGCUGCAUGGCUGUCGUCAGCUCGUGUCGUGAGAUGUUGGGUUAAGUCCCGCAACGAGCGCAACCCCUAUAUUCUGUUGCCACCCGGUCGCAAGACUGGAGCACUCUGAAUAAACUGCCUCGCUUAAACGAGGAGGAAGGUGGGGAUGACGUCAAGUCAGUAUGGCCCUUACGGCUAGGGCUGCACACGUACUACAAUGCCUAUCACAGAGGGGAGCAAGCUGGCAACAGCAAGCAAAUCCUUAAAAGUAGGCUCAGUUCAGAUUGCUGUCUGCAACUCGACAGCAUGAAGCUGGAAUCGCUAGUAAUGGCGCAUCAGCUACGGCGCCGUGAAUACGUUCCCAGGCCUUGUACACACCGCCCGUCACAUCAUGAAAGCCGCCUGUACCCGAAAAUGCUGCGCUAUCUUCGGAGGCAAGUAACUAAGGUAUGAGUGGUAAUUGGGAUGAAGUCGGAACAAGGUA
rnacentral:rRNA from 1 species